rnacentral:tRNA from 1 species
GGCUGGUUAGCUCAGUCAGUUGAGAGCGGCGCUGACAACGCCAAGGUCGCGGGUUCGAUUCCUGUUCGGUCC